CAAUUUCUGAUUUAUACAACAGACUGAUUGAAUUCUACAGUGUAGUUUUUUUCAGUUUUUAUGCAGACCAGCCAUAAUUAUUACAUGCUCCUCUUGUCCUGUGCAUUCCUAGUGCUCACUUUUCAGUCACUCAAUCAUGGCAUUGCUGAGUUUGCCACUCAAGCUGUAACUCAAAUAUAAAUGUGGCAGGGAUGUGGCUCCUCUAUUUUGGCUAUUCUUGCUACUUCCAGACCCUUGCAGGAGUUUUUUUGACAGUACAAAAGCCAUCAAAUCUGGCAUCUUGUCUUGGCUUAGCCUCUGGUAGGUGAUUAGAUUUCAGCUGUGGCCAGCUUCCACUCCACACAAUGUAAAAUCAGGUUGGGGUGAGGGAAGGAGGGGCAGCACUACAGAAAUGUGGGUUUGGGUGAACCUGACUCAUGAGCUUCUCUCUUCCUCCCUGCAGAUCCAUUCCUUCAGCAGCCAGAUAAGCCCAUACUGAAAUGACUCAACAAUUUUCAAGAAGAGCUAACUACAAAAGUGUUACCUCAAAGUUCAGGCUGAGUUUAUGUGCCUUGCUCUUUAGGAAAAGUAAAAAACCAAGAACGUGCUUAAUAGGCUACAAAAUCAGAACCCCAAGGGGAGCUAAGAUCUGGCCAACAAGUGUAGUGUCUCCAUAUCUUUGCCUACCAAAAUUUCAUUCCUUUGUCUCUCCAAGCAUUUACUAUAUUAAAAUAUUAAUAUACAGAUUAUGUUGCUUUACUAAAAAUGAAUUAUAGAUGGAGGCUUUAUCGGCAUGAAGCUAGAGUUCUUAAUACAGUUACAAAAUCUUACAUACUGGACAAUGUAUAUCUGAUUUGUAUUUCAUAGUACAUUCAAAACACUUUAAGCCGUGUUAUUUCUAGCAUAUGUCUAUUUUGUAUUUUUACAGUAUGAACUUUUAUUUUUGUGAGAAGUUGGAAUCUUACAGAAUUUACAUAAUGGUUGAAUGCACUUAUUUUACUUGCUGAAAACUUGUCUCUAAAUAGGCCAUUUUGUUUAAUAUAAGGAUGAAAAUGCAAGAAUCUCAAGCAGAAAUAUUUUACGUGCUUUUCACCAAAUCCUGAAGAAAUUAAUAAUAAGGCUUACUGUUAUAAAUCUCCACCAAGAACUAGUCCUGUGUUAUUUGUGUUAAUAAGGUGACCUGGGGAAUACAAAAAAUAGAGGAAAGCUAGGUGGCAUUUCCUGAUUUUAUGUAGUUCUUGAAGGAAAGGAUCCAUUUUUCAUGCUGAAUGAAAGUCUGUUUGCUUCACAAAGUGAGCAACUGCUUAUGAAUGCUUUUGAGUAUAACUCACUAUCUGAAUAAUACCUGAAUUCACUUCUUGGUAAGUUGUUUGUUUGGUUUUUUUAAGGGGUUUACUGUGUCUUAAAUUAGAAAGGUUACUUCUUUAAGAAUCAUGGGAAACAAUGAAGUCCCAAAGUUUUACUGCUUGACUGUAAUUCUGGAGCAUAAGUCCUUUUGUAAAUACUGGACUAAAUGCACAAGAGGUUUUCUGUUGGUAUUCUACUUUAAUAUUUUUCACCAUCCCUUUUAUUGAUGCCUUGUUUUCUCACAUGGCUCUUUUUGAGGAGCAUUAUAGACAAUCAGUCAGCUUUAUAUGUUUCAGAAUUGCUCCUGAUGCCUUUCUUUCACACUAAAAAGCCUCUGUAGUACAUUAUACCACUUUACAAAUGGGAAUUUCACACUAUGUUCUUUAUGUACAUACAUAAAUUGCUUUCAUUUGUUUAUGCCAGUGGCUUCCAUGCUGGAAUUGUAUGACUGCUGAAUAAACAACUUUUCUCCCUGAAUUACUUUUUUUCAUGCCAUUCAUAUCUGCUGCCAGGCAGUAUAGGGUGUAUGUAACCACUCAAACUGGGGCCUCAGAGCAUGACCUGAUUCUUAAAAUCUCCUUGGAAAUAGCUUGGAAUUCCUUUACAACAAUGGCCUAAUGGAGGAGAAAUACAUUUGCCCAGAUUUCAUCAGUGGAAGUCUAUGCCUUUUUUUUCAGGCACAACUUUAUUACAAAAAAUAAUAGUGGAAGUUGUUUGUUUUCAUUUCCAUCCUUCUACUGAUUGACUGUAAUGAGACCUCUGAUCUGCAAACAAGGGAACAUCACCUGAGCAACAAUUCUGGCUCUUCCCCUUAACCAUUUCCAGUUAAAUGUUCCUGGAGUGUUCAAGCUUACUCUCAUUAGUGUUUCAGAAUACAUUAGGUCAAAACUAGACUCCUCGCCAUCCAUAAAAAAUUGCUGUUUCUGUGAGAGUAAGAAGGAGAAUUUGCAUAUAAGUUCAUAAAGAGCAUACUCUUGAAGGGAUGGAGUUUGAAUUACAUUAUUUUACAAACUCUGAGCUCCAUGUCAUCUUUUUCAUGAUUUACUCAUCCAAUAUCCUUUCACUCCUUCCAAAACAGUGUCUGCCCAACUGCCUAUGUGCAACUGUAGUCCAUGGCAGUGUCUCUCCUACUCAGUGUACAGGUGUAAGCCCAUUUUUGAGUUCUUGCACUACCAUGAGGAGAGAGCACCAUACAAACAUUUGGCUGCUGCCAGCCUUCAUUUCCAAGGAUACAAUAACAACAACCUUUUCUGGUUCCUUGCAGAACAGAUAUCCUUGAGAUGACUUGCCAGCUGCCAGCCAGCAAGCACAAGCCAUGUGCACUGCUUAGCCAGCCAGCAGCCCAGACAAAUUGCUUCCCAAGCUCUGUAAUGCCAGGCUGAAACGGGGAAAAUGUGAGUAUGAGGCAGAAGAUUUACAAAGCAGGAAAACAAACGGAGUCAUACGAGUCCUUCAUCCUGGGUCACAUCCCUGCUUCGACAAGGCAUGUUCAGAGAAAAUAACAACUGCAUUUUAGUUCUGAAUCCAGUAUUUGAAUAAGCUGGGAGAAGCACUAAAUAACAAAGUAAAAGUUGACAGAGCUCAGCUGUCACCUGGCUGACAUCUCGUGUCCACAUCAUGGCCACAAAGCUGAAAUUGGUUUGGAUUUCUCCUGCUGUUUUUUGUCUGGUCCUGCUCCUAUGUAACAGUGGCAAUUUCUGAGCAAUAACCAAAACUCUGUAUUACAUGAGAAACUGGAGACAUGGUGCAAUAUAUGGCAGAAGUUCUCUCAUAUCAAAGCACAGUCCUAAACUUCUUGCAGCCCCAGAACUCCAGACUGAAGAGCAAAAGCCUGUAGCCCUCAGAUGUUGCAACAAGUGGAUCAAACAUUCAAAAACAAUCUCUCUGGACCUUGCAAUGUAUGAGUUUGUCUUUUCUAUUCUAUUCUGUUUAGGAAGUUCUUAAAUUGGUGUUAUAAAUGCACUAUCUGAGUACAUUUCUGAAUCAUGUUCUAUUCUUGUCCUGUUCCCUCAAAAGAACUGAUCCAUGCUGUAGCAUUUUGUAUGGGGAUUUGGCUGAUCUUAGAGGUGUUUGUACUUUGAGAUUCUAUACUUAAAUCAGAAACCACAGAGAUUUUUGAUACCACAGUUUUGGUCUGAACUCCAAGAAUUGUGAGUCUCUGCUUUCCCCAGGAGUACAGGAAGGAAUGUUUAGGAUCAUGCUGUUUGCUUUUGAGCUUGUAUCCCAAGCAUUGGUAUCAUGACCAACUUUUAGAACUGCCUUCUUACAGUGCAUGUAAGGUAUUCUCAUUCCUCUCAUCUUAUUUUUUCUAAGAGAAGGAGUAAAUCUCUUAUAUCUGUCAUGAAAACAUCCUGUGGUGGUUUUUGUCCACCUUAUGGACAACUUCACACAUUAUCAAAUACUUCUAUAUGGGCAGAGACCCAUUCCUUUUGCAAAUGCUAUAAAACUAACUUGAGCCUGAGUACAGGUGGAAGGUUUCACAGAGUUCUUCCUCUUAAGGAGCAGUCAAAGAGCUGCUUCCACCUUACUGACUAUAUUAUUUCAUGUAUUAACACCUCCAACAUCACUGCCCUCUCUCCUGGUGGCCUGCCCCUUAUACACAGACUGAAAGUGGCUCAAGGACACACUGAAGAAUUACAAUUCUAAUCAAUGUUGGAGUCAAAAAUCCAGCGCACUACUGGAUAUGGAUGUCAUUUGACACAGUAAAUUACAGUCAGUGUAUAAACAAAUAAAUAAAAUGCCCAAGUGUGUAACAGAAUUUCAUGCUUUAGCACAGAUAGGCCAUGAGCAGAGGAUGAAUUUCUAAUUAAGAGAGAAUUGCUAUGGUAACCAGAGGUGGUCACAGAUAAUUGGGUGUGAAACCCCAUGAGACUUCAUGACAGAGGUGUCUGCAUACAUUAUCCAGCACACUUUCUGUUUCUUAAAUAGAACUACAUUGUCAGGUCAAACAGAAUUUUUCGUAUUUUAGGUGCCUUCUUUUUGAGCAACUGAAGUGCAACUCAUAAGGGGUCUCUGUUCUUUAAAUGGUAUCAGAACAGUCCAUGUGCAAGGCCAAACUGGAGUGAGGAUUCUCAGCCUUAGCUUACUCUUAAUGGUGGGUUAAGAAGAGAGGUGUUUAUAUGUUUGCUAACCCACCUGAAUGGGACACAGAAGGGAGAUGACUGCCUGUGUUGGCAAAGCAGAACCAUCAGGGACAGAGGAACACUGCUCCUCACAAUGGGACUGUGCACAUUGUCCAGCCCCAUGAUUAACUUGAUACUGCAUUGUCUUAGUUAAAACAGUUAUUAUUUAAAAUUGGUAUUUUGUUAUCACAAUUCAUGGGAGAGUAAAGGGAUAAUCACAGAAGCUGAGUUAUUCUGUGCAACCCAGACCAGUAUGAUCAGAGCAGAGGGGAUGCUUAAAACUCACAUUACAUGAGCAUAGUAACACCUGCAUCAGCAACCAGUUGUGAUUAAGCAAAUUUACUUAAAUUUACAAAAAUUAUUUACCAACUUAAGUACUUUUUAUUAGAUAGUUUUGAGUGUUAUCUUAGCUAAUUAGAUAUUCAUUAUCUAUGUGAUGAAUAAUAUAUUAUCUGUGUAAUGAACCGUGAUGAAGAUUAAAGGAAAAUCUCAUUAUUUCAAACUGUU